CGACAGCCCCGCAAGGCGCCAGCGGAGACCCGCCCUGCGCCGGGGGCCGGAGUGCCGCGCGCCUCCCCUCCAGCGGCCUGCGGGCUCGGACGCCGCCGCCGGGAGGCGCCACCUGUGGGCUCGGCCGCCGCCUCCGGGACGCCUGCCGCCUGCGGGCUCCGGAUCCUCCCUCUCCCUCGCCGGAUCUGCAGCUCCCUUGGCCGGAUCUGCUUCAGCGUAGCGUUCCUUCGCCUGGGCGACAUGGACGCACUGGCCGGCCACGCCGCAGGCCGGCGUUGCCUCUGUGCCGCGCUCGUGCUCGCGCACGUGGAGGCGCUGGCCGGUGACGCGGCAGGCCGGCCUUGCCUCUGUGCUGCGCUCGCGCGCGGAGGCCCUGGACGACCGGCCGUGGCCACGGUGGCCGGCGCCUGCCCGGGGGGCGCCUCUCUGCUGCUAGAUUACUUCCCCUCUUCCGGUUGCUCCAGCUUGCUUCUCUCACUUUCCCGCUUCUUUUUUCUCCAUUCUAUUUCAGAUCCGGGAUGGCGUAAAGGGACGAGCGUUCUGGCGGCGGUUGGUCCGGCGAGGGAGCUCUGCGGCAAGCCACACGGAGUGGCGGCCCCGACAUGCUCACACAUGCGUGGACAGAAGAAUCUGACCACAAAUUGCUGCAGAAACACAACGCUCAUGGCGCGGACUUCCCAUCCGUGCUGCAGGUGCGGGCCCAGUCACCGCUUGAGCCGUGCACAGUGAUAAAACUGGAACAUUGACCCUGAACAAGCUUACUGUGGACAAGAACCUUGUUAAAGUUUUUGAAAGAGGCAUUGCUCAGGAUCAAGUGAUUCUUCACACGUGCUGGUAUCCAAGAAGUUCACUUCCUGCCAUUCAAUCCUACUGACAAAAGAACAGCAUUGACAUACAUCGACAGUGAUGGCAAAAUGUUCCGUAUAAUCCAUCUGGCUCACAAUAAGUCAGAGAUAGAGAGGAGGGUUCAUGCUGUGAUUGCUAAAUUUGCAGAGCGUGGACUUAAAUCACUUGCUGUCGCACAUCAGGAAGUACCUGAGGGGAGGAAAGAAAGUCCUGGUGGCCCAUGGCACUUCGUUGGUCUCAUGCCACUUUUUGACCCUCCAAGACAUGACAGCGCUAAAACAAUUCGAAGGGCACCCAACCUUGGAGUUAAUGUCAAGAUGAUCACAGGUGUUCAGCUGGCAGUUGGAAAGGAAACAGGUCGUCGCCUUGGAAUGGGUACAAAUAUGUAUCCUUCUUCUGCUUUGUUAGGACAGAACAAGGAUGAGUCUAUUGCUGCUUUACCAGUUGAUGAUCUCAUCGAGAAAGCUGAUGGUUUUGCUGGUGUAUUCCCUGAACACAAGUAUGAGAUUGUGAAACGUCUGCAAGCAUGGAAGCAAUUCUAAAUGAUGGUACCAUAAUGACUAUAUCAAAGGAUCGUGUAAAACCAUCCCCACUACCUGACAGCUGCUGGAAGCUCGCUGAAAUUUUCACUACUGGAGUUUUCCUUGGUGGAUAUCAGAGAAUAUUUCAUGUUGAAAGCCUUGAGAAGACUGCUCAAGAUGAUUUCCAGAAGCUUGCCUCUGCUGUUUACCUGCAAGUCAGCACCAUAAGCCAAGCUAUCAUCUUCGUGACGAGGUCCUGGAGCUGGUCAUUUCUCAUUUGUUGAGCGACCAGGGUUUCUACUGGUCUUUGCGUUCUUGGUUGUGCAGCUGAUUGCUACGCUGAUUGCUGCGUACGCCGACUGGGCAUUCACUUCAAUCAAAGGCAUUGGGUGGGGCUGGGCUGGAAUUGUGUGGCUUUACAACAUCAUCUUCUACUUUCAAUUGCAAAGAACAAAAGAUGCAGGAAGGUGACAUCUGCACUUUCAAUGUUGUCGAAGCCAAGCUUUGGCAUGUUGUUAUCACACAACAACAACAACAACAACAACAACAUAGCCUUUUUUCCCAAGCAAGUUGGGGUAGGCCAUGUUGUUAUCACACGCUGUGAGGAAAAGAUAGAUCAGUUAUGCAUUUCUUUACCACUGUCCUGUAAGGCACUUGGACUCCGAGAACCUUGCACAAUCACACUCAAGACUCCAACUAGCAGCACCGCAGAGAAGAGGGAAGAGGCGGCACCACAGUCGACGUUGCCUUGUGGGGCAACAGCACCCAGGAAGCUUUGUACUGGGUGCCGCACUGUGGGGCUGUUACAACAGCAAUUUCAUAUUCAGUUCCGAUCAAGGGAUCAAUACUUCUUCCAAGCAACUCAGUUCCUGAAUUAUGAGCACUGCUGGACUCUGGUGUGCUAUUGUAGUGUCUUCUAUUCUCUUAAUAUUUAGAAUGUGCCUCGGCAACUUAUGGCAGUGCUACUUCUUUGAUUUUAUAUUUCUUAUAGGAGUAAGUUGUCACUCCAUGUUUAUAUUAAGUCAUUGCAGAAGUUACAA